GUCAGUUGGUGUGGUGGUGUCGCGACUGAGGGAGCGUAAUACCGAGAUCCACAGCAGCUCGGGCCGUGUCAGGGUCAGUGACUGACCGGUCAGAGAGGUCACAGUGUGAGGGGUCACGUGACUGGGAGACCGAUCACGCAUAACGGCCGGUGUGUCUGAACGGAGUGGCAACAAAAUACGCAACUGAUUGUGUUUGUGCGUGAGGACGACAUUUGACUACAUUCCUAUCCGGAGGAGACGAGCCUCAGAACUUUCGGCGUCGUUUCCGCGGAAGAACGUUGACUUCUCACGGCCGACCACAGUCCGGCUGCCAGGCUGCUACUGAUCGUUGUCAGGAAGACUACGGACGUCGCUAAUUCGUCAGGACUGCGGUGUUUGUCAGUUAGCUGACCGCAGCAAGUAUCAUCGAUCACGAACAGAGAGAGAAUUCCACGAAAGGCGCUGUUCCGCACGUGCACAGCAAGGGCUGAGCGAACGGACUGAGUCGAGAGACUGCUGUGAGAUAGUGCUAAAGUAAACGGUGGACACGGGUGGAUUGUGAAGUGAGCUCGAACUGAAAGUGGAACUGGCACGGUGUGCGACUCGUGAGGUGGACAACAAACUGUGGAAAGCUGUAGUAAACAUAACGGAACAGCAACUGUGUUCUGUAAACUCGUAACCGAACCGAAAGACGUGACGCGGUGACGAUUUGGCCACUCUGGAAAUUCUACGAAUACCGACUUCUCCAAUCUGCUGGAAGUGCUCCGGUUAACUUUGCGUGAAGUGUGGGCUGCAGAAGAGGAUUAACUUCCCAGAAAGCUUCCAUGGCGCCCCGUCAGUGAGCGUCCUGCCGCGAUGCAACUCCCCGAGUUGGCCCUGUGGGGCCUGCUGGUGCUUCAUCUUCUGGUCCGUCAGUGUCACGCGCGACGCAUCCAGGUCUUCUGGAACGCCACCAACCCAAUGUGAGUACCCGUUGCAUGAGUAGAACAGAUUCAUGUAUUAUUUACGUGUCAUAUCCACUCGCACCAGUAUUUCGAUAUGCCGUAGAAAUUCAUUCCCGUCUCGUGAUUUCAGUAUAUGGCGGCUUGAGACACUGCCUGUUGCUUACAGUCUAUAUCCGCGUCCCUCUGUUAUUCAGCUAAUAUUUUGAUCACGCCGCCGGCUUGUCUCGUUUAUGCAGCGCUCGUAGUUCGUAAACAUAUUUCUGGAUGUUUUCUGACCGAGUUGUGGGUAUGGAUGAGGAAUUCAGUGUUUGUAUCAAAACAGCCCUCUGGAAAAUACGCCAGCAUUGAGCGGUAUACGAGCAUAAACGACGGGAGGAGCCGGCCUUGAGACCAGAUGGGACCACGGAAAAAUACAGUGUUUACUGUUUAUCGUAUAAAUCUGGCAACUUUUUCUUAUGCAUUCGAGAAUAUUGCAAGUGUCGUCAAAAUUGUAUUGCAUGAAGAUGACGAGCAAGACUACGAAUCGACAUUGUCAUGCACCCCUUAUCAAAAUUAGUUCAAAACGGUUACGCGCUUGAGCCUUGGAAUGCCUUUUUUAUUAUAACUGGCAUCAUUUUCUCUCAUCGGACACUAGCCAGCAAACUUUUGCCACGUCUACUUGCUCAACCUGCCUGGCUCUGGGCGGUAGUGCAUACAGGCCCCGCGGCUGAUUCACUGUCAUGACGGACUGAACUGCGUCUGUGACUGAAUGGAGUCGCAUAGACUGAACUGCACCUGACUAACUGAACUGCUGCGUCUGUGAUUGAAUUGAGUGGCGCUGACUGAAGCCGCCUUGACUGAACUGCGUCUAUGAUUGACUGAACUGCGUCUGUGAUUGACUGGAGUCGCGUCCGUGAUUGAAUGGAGUCGCGUUGACUGAGCUGCGCCCACUCGUAUGAUUGCACCCGCGGGCGGUCGGCGUGGGCCGGCCAGCGCCGCGCCCGAAUAGUGCCGUUCUCACUCACGCCCGGGGUCAUCCAUGUGACCUUUAUGACCGGUCGGGGCGGCCCGGUCGCGUCUUCAUCUCAUGUGUUCGGCGAAUUUGCCAGCGGCGCGAGCGGAUAGUCGUCAGGUUGGCUCAGCCUGCGA